rnacentral:sRNA from 15 species
UCAGUAUGGCUCCCAUCCGCCAGAGGAAAUGAGUGCGAAGCAUGGCACGAAGAACAGUGGAAAGUAUAAAUGCCCGAAAUUUCUCUAUUGAAAUAUCAGUUUCAACCGAGAGAUAGAAAGAUGAAGUUCUUUACAGUCCUGUUGCUGCUGUGUGCCAUGGCUGGAUGCUCCAUUGCCGUGUCCUCUAUCAGUACCCCUACCGGUACCGGCACCACUAGCGGUACCUAUACCACGACUUAUGGCUGGACAGAUGACGCCACAACGUUAGCCCCAGCAGCUUCACCCCCGUCCAACCCUUGCGGCGGCUUUGGAGGACCCUGCGGUAAAAUUCCCCGCGAUGGCAAAAAAUUAUACUUCUUCUAUUAAAUACGUUUCCAGUGUUUGAAACAGAAUAAAAGAAAUCGAAAGAA